AAACCAACGGGAUUGCCUUAGUAGCGGCGAGUGAAGCGGCAAUAGCUCAAAUUUGAAAUCUGGCGUCUUCGGCGUCCGAGUUGUAAUUUGAAGAAGCUAUCUUUGAGGCUGGCUCUUGUCUAUGUUCCUUGGAACAGGACGUCACAGAGGGUGAGAAUCCCGUGCGAUGAGAUGCCCAGUUUCGUGUAAAGUUCCUUCGACGAGUCGAGUUGUUUGGGAAUGCAGCUCUAAGUGGGUGGUAAAUUCCAUCUAAAGCUAAAUAUUGGCGAUAGACCGAUAGCGAACAAGUACUGUGAAGGAAAGAUGAAAAGAACUUUGAAAAGAGAGUGAAAAAGUACGUGAAAUUGUUGAAAGGGAAGGGCUUGAGGUCAGACUUGGUUUACCAGGCCAGCAUCAGUUUGGGUGGCAGGAUAAUAGCUAAGGAAAGUGGCACGAUUUCGGUUGUGUGUUAUAGCCUUGGUUGAUACUGCCUGCCUAGACUGAGGACUGCGUCUUUGACUAGGCUGCUGGCAUAAUGACCUUAAGCCGC
rnacentral:rRNA from 1 species